rnacentral:rRNA from 1 species
GACGAACGCUGGCGGCGUGCUUAACACAUGCAAGUCGAACGGAAAGGCCCUGCUUUUGUGGGGUGCUCGAGUGGCGAACGGGUGAGUAACACGUGAGUAACCUGCCCUUGACUUUGGGAUAACUUCAGGAAACUGGGGCUAAUACCGGAUAGGAGCUCCUGCUGCAUGGUGGGGGUUGGAAAGUUUCGGCGGUUGGGGAUGGACUCGCGGCUUAUCAGCUUGUUGGUGGGGUAGUGGCUUACCAAGGCUUUGACGGGUAGCCGGCCUGAGAGGGUGACCGGCCACAUUGGGACUGAGAUGCGGCCCAGACUCCUACGGGAGGCAGCAGUGGGGAAUAUUGCACAAUGGGCGGAAGCCUGAUGCAGCAACGCCGCGUGCGGGAUGACGGCCUUCGGGUUGUAAACCGCUUUCGCCUGUGACGAAGAGUGAGUGACGGUAAUGGGUAAAGAAGCACCGGCUAACUACGUG